AAAAUCACAAAUCCAUCAAUGCAAUAUACGACACACAGGAAACAAAAUCCACAAUCAAUGAGUUCGAACCAGUUAAGGGCUUCCCUUUCUCUCAAUCCCUGGAAGGCCACCGAAACGCUCAUCGAUGUGGGUAUACCAUUGCUACCUGAGACGAUCUAUGUGACUGCAAAAGGAUGUUUAGUUUUGUCGCCUUCGAUUAACAGAUGAAUAAAAACUGAGCUUAUUAAAAGAGGAAGGUGAAGAUGAUAACCCAAAGGCCCAUCAAUUAAAGCUAACUGGGCCUCUUCAAACUAUCUCCAGGCCCACUAAAGCCCGACCAACUACCUUACCACAACCCGACUCCUCCCAUCUGAUUAUUAAACCCAGAGCCGGUCCUGUAUACGUGGCUGUGGUACCCACCGCCAUAGCCCUCGACAGUAAAGCCACUGCCAUUUCGACGAGCGUCUAUCUUACGCGCUACAGCAGUCUCCUCCCCGUCCAUUUCUCUAAAUCUGUGCAAGCAAACCUUCAAAGGGUCGACCUAGUCUUGAAAGCCCAUAGUGAUCAAGGCCCAGAGGAAAUCAUCGCCGCUGAUGGUCUUCCUCUUCUCUACGGGACUUAUCGGAAGCAUCACCUGUAACGAAGCUGAUGAACUCAGAGACGCA
rnacentral:misc_RNA from 1 species